GUGCCAGCAGCCGCGGUAAUACGAAGGUGGCGAGCGUUGUUCGGAAUCACUGGGCUUAAAGAGCACGUAGGCGGACUGCCAAGCGUCUUGUGAAAUCCCCCGGCUCAACCGGGGAAUUGCUGGGCGAACUGGUAGUCUUGAGGCAAGUAGGGGCAGAUGGAACUCUUGGUGGAGCGGUGGAAUGCGUAGAUAUCAAGAGGAACGCCAGAGGCGAAGGCGAUCUGCUGGGCUUGACCUGACGCUGAGGUGCGAAAGCCAGGGGAGCAAACGGGAUUAGAUACCCCGGUAGUCCUGGCCAUAAACGAUGUCCACUAGAUCGGUGAACUUCUGACAGUGUGCCGGUCGAAACAAAAGCGUUAAGUGGACCGCCUGGGGAGUACGGUCGCAAGGCUAAAACUCAAAGGAAUUGACGGGGGCUCACACAAGCGGUGGAGCAUGUUGCUUAAUUCGAUGCAACGCGAAGAACCUUAUCCUGGGCUUGACAUGCUUGGAUGCCCAUCUGGAAACAGAGUAGGCUGCCCUUCGGGGUGAAACUUGCACAGGUGCUGCAUGGCUGUCGUCAGCUCGUGUCGUGAGAUGUUGGGUUAAGUCCCGUAACGAGCGAAACCCUUGUCGUUAGUUGCCAGCGCGUAAUGGCGGGGACUCUAGCGAGACUGCCGGUGUUAAACCGGAGGAAGGUGGGGAUGACGUCAAGUCCUCAUGGCCUUUAUGCCCAGGGCUGCAAACGUGCUACAAUGGCGAGGACAAACCGACGCAAAGCCGCGAGGUCGAGCAAAUCGGAGAAACCUUGCCCCAGUUCGGAUUGGAGUCUGCAACUCGACUCCAUGAAGUCGGAAUCGCU
rnacentral:rRNA from 1 species